AGUGAACGCUGGCGGUAGGCCUAACACAUGCAAGUCGAACGGCAGCACAGUAAGAGCUUGCUCUUACGGGUGGCGAGUGGCGGACGGGUGAGGAAUACAUCGGAAUCUACUUUUUCGUGGGGGAUAACGUAGGGAAACUUAGGCUAAUACCGCAUACGACCUACGGGUGAAAGCAGGGGAUCUUCGGACCUUGCGCGAUUGAAUGAGCCGAUGUCGGAUUAGCUAGUUGGCGGGGUAAAGGCCCACCAAGGCGACGAUCCGUAGCUGGUCUGAGAGGAUGAUCAGCCACACUGGAACUGAGACACGGUCCAGACUCCUACGGGAGGCAGCAGUGGGGAAUAUUGGACAAUGGGCGCAAGCCUGAUCCAGCCAUACCGCGUGGGUGAAGAAGGCCUGCGGGUUGUAAAGCCCUUUUGUUGGGAAAGAAAAGCAGCAGGUUAAUACCCCGCUGUUCUGACGGUACCCAAGGAAUAAGCACCGGCUAACUUCGU
rnacentral:rRNA from 1 species